rnacentral:pre_miRNA from 1 species
UGCUGCCUCUUUCUUUCGUGAUAUUUUUCACAGCGUAAAAAUAUCACAAGAACAGAUCCAGCACA